rnacentral:rRNA from 1 species
GACGUAGGGCGCGAGCGUUGUCCGGAUUUAUUGGGCGUAAAGAGCUCGUAGGCGGCUUGUUGCGUCGACUGUGAAAACCCGCGGCUUAACCGCGGGCUUGCAGUUGAUACGGGCAGGCUAGAGUUCGGUAGGGGAGACUGGAAUUCCUGGUGUAGCGGUGAAAUGCGCAGAUAUCAGGAGGAACACCGGUGGCGAAGGCGGGUCUCUGGACAGUUCCUGACGCUGAGGCACGAAGGUCAGGGGAGCAAACGGG